GACGAACGCUGGCGGCGUGCCUAAUACAUGCAAGUAGAACGCUGAAGGAGGAGCUUGCUUCUCCGGAUGAGUUGCGAACGGGUGAGUAACGCGUAGGUAACCUGCCUGGUAGCGGGGGAUAACUAUUGGAAACGAUAGCUAAUACCGCAUAAGAGUAGAUGUUGCACGACAUUUGCUUAAAAGGUGCAAUUGCAUCACUACCAGAUGGACCUGCGUUGUAUUAGCUAGUUGGUGGGGUAACGGCUUACCAAGGCGACGAUACAUAGCCGACCUGAGAGGGUGAUCGGCCACACUGGGACUGAGACACGGCCCAGACUCCUACGGGAGGCAGCAGUAGGGAAUCUUCGGCAAUGGACGGAAGUCUGACCGAGCAACGCCGCGUGAGUGAAGAAGGUUUUCGGAUCGUAAAGCUCUGUUGUAAGAGAAGAACGAGUGUGAGAGUGGAAAGUUCACACUGUGACGGUAUCUUACCAGAAAGGGACGGCUAACUACGUG
rnacentral:rRNA from 1 species